AUACCUUUCUCGGCCUUUUGGCUAAGAUCAAGUGUAGUAUCUGUUCUUAUCAGUUUAAUAUCUGAUAUGCGUGGGUCAUCGAUCCACACGAUAUUAACUCAAUUUUUUGAGGGGGGAGUUCAUUAUGGUAGCUUGCUAUCGGAACUCUCAAGUGUCUUCUUGGUACUACACUACAGCCUAGACCUGGCACACCCCAC
rnacentral:snRNA from 2 species